GACGAACCGAGCGAACGUUGUUCGGAAUCACUGGGCUUAAAGGGUGCGUAGGCGGGCUGCCAAGUUUGAGGUGAAAUCCUCCGGCUCAACCGGGGAAGUGCCUUGAAUACUGGCGGUCUGGAGGGAGGUAGGGGCGUGCGGAACUAACGGUGGAGCGGUGAAAUGCGUUGAUAUCGUUAGGAACUCCGGUGGCGAAGGCGGCACGCUAGACCUCUUCUGACGCUGAGGCACGAAAGCCAGGGGAGCAAACGGG
rnacentral:rRNA from 1 species